rnacentral:rRNA from 1 species
CGGGCAUGCCUUUACCACAUUGCAAAGUCGAACCGGCAGCACCGGGAGCAAUCCCGGGUGGCGAGUGGCGAACGGGGUGAGUAAUAUAUCGGAACGUGCCCAGUCGUGGGGGAUAACGCAGCGAAAGCUGUGCUAAUACCGCAUACGAUCUAUGGAUGAAAGCGGGGGACCCGUAAGGGCCUCGCGCGAUUGGAGCGGCCGAUAUCAGAUUAGGUAGUUGGUGUGGUAAAAGCGCACCAAGCCGACGAUCUGUAGCUGGUCUGAGAGGACGACCAGCCACACUGGAACUGAGACACGGUCCAGACUCCUACGGGAGGCAGCAGUGGGGAAUUUUGGACAAUGGGCGCAAGCCUGAUCCAGCAAUGCCGCGUGCAGGAUGAAGGCCUUCGGGUUGUAAACUGCUUUUGUACGGAGCGAAACGGUCUGCUUUAAUACAGUGGGCUAAUGACGGUACCGUAAGAAUAAGCACCGGCUAACUACGUGCCAGCAGCCGCGGUAAUACGUAGGGUGCGAGCGUUAAUCGGAAUUACUGGGCGUAAAGCGUGCGCAGGCGGUUAUAUAAGACAGAUGUGAAAUCCCCGGGCUCAACCUGGGACCUGCAUUUGUGACUGUAUAGCUAGAGUACGGUAGAGGGGGAUGGAAUUCCGCGUGUAGCAGUGAAAUGCGUAGAUAUGCGGAGGAACACCGAUGGCGAAGGCAAU